AAAUUGAAGAGUUUGAUCAUGGCUCAGAUUGAACGCUGGCGGCAGGCCUAACACAUGCAAGUCGAACGGUAACAGGAAGCAGCUUGCUGCUUUGCUGACGAGUGGCGGACGGGUGAGUAAUGUCUGGGAAACUGCCUGAUGGAGGGGGAUAACUACUGGAAACGGUAGCUAAUACCGCAUAACGUCGCAAGACCAAAGAGGGGGACCUUCGGGCCUCUUGCCAUCGGAUGUGCCCAGAUGGGAUUAGCUAGUAGGUGGGGUAAAGGCUCACCUAGGCGACGAUCCCUAGCUGGUCUGAGAGGAUGACCAGCCACACUGGAACUGAGACACGGUCCAGACUCCUACGGGAGGCAGCAGUGGGGAAUAUUGCACAAUGGGCGCAAGCCUGAUGCAGCCAUGCCGCGUGUAUGAAGAAGGCCUUCGGGUUGUAAAGUACUUUCAGCGGGGAGGAAGGGAGUAAAGUUAAUACCUUUGCUCAUUGACGUUACCCGCAGAAGAAGCACCGGCUAACUCCGUGCCAGCAGCCGCGGUAAUACGGAGGGUGCAAGCGUUAAUCGGAAUUACUGGGCGUAAAGCGCACGCAGGCGGUUUGUUAAGUCAGAUGUGAAAUCCCCGGGCUCAACCUGGGAACUGCAUCUGAUACUGGCAAGCUUGAGUCUCGUAGAGGGGGGUAGAAUUCCAGGUGUAGCGGUGAAAUGCGUAGAGAUCUGGAGGAAUACCGGUGGCGAAGGCGGCCCCCUGGACGAAGACUGACGCUCAGGUGCGAAAGCGUGGGGAGCAAACAGGAUUAGAUACCCUGGUAGUCCACGCCGUAAACGAUGUCGACUUGGAGGUUGUGCCCUUGAGGCGUGGCUUCCGGAGCUAACGCGUUAAGUCGACCGCCUGGGGAGUACGGCCGCAAGGUUAAAACUCAAAUGAAUUGACGGGGGCCCGCACAAGCGGUGGAGCAUGUGGUUUAAUUCGAUGCAACGCGAAGAACCUUACCUGGUCUUGACAUCCACAGAACUUUCCAGAGAUGGAUUGGUGCCUUCGGGAACUGUGAGACAGGUGCUGCAUGGCUGUCGUCAGCUCGUGUUGUGAAAUGUUGGGUUAAGUCCCGCAACGAGCGCAACCCUUAUCCUUUGUUGCCAGCGGUCCGGCCGGGAACUCAAAGGAGACUGCCAGUGAUAAACUGGAGGAAGGUGGGGAUGACGUCAAGUCAUCAUGGCCCUUACGACCAGGGCUACACACGUGCUACAAUGGCGCAUACAAAGAGAAGCGACCUCGCGAGAGCAAGCGGACCUCAUAAAGUGCGUCGUAGUCCGGAUUGGAGUCUGCAACUCGACUCCAUGAAGUCGGAAUCGCUAGUAAUCGUGGAUCAGAAUGCCACGGUGAAUACGUUCCCGGGCCUUGUACACACCGCCCGUCACACCAUGGGAGUGGGUUGCAAAAGAAGUAGGUAGCUUAACCUUCGGGAGGGCGCUUACCACUUUGUGAUUCAUGACUGGGGUGAAGUCGUAACAAGGUAACCGUAGGGGAACCUGCGGUUGGAUCACCUCCUUACCUUAAAGAA
rnacentral:rRNA from 1 species